CUGGCUCGCAGAACGGAUCGGAGCACCCCCACCAACCCAAAUCGCUUUAUUGUUCGGUUCGUGGUACGAGGUAAUUAGUACGUGUUCAUUUUGGGGAACAGAUCUCCAUCCAUCAUAUUUAGAUGAGUGAGAUGAAUAAAAGAGCAUCAGGGGAUCUCCAUGCAUAUGUAUGUAAUGUACCUUAAGGCAGUCUUGUUAUUUAGGUUUACGGCACCUGUGGCCUUUGGAACAAACAAGGACUAGAGUCAACAUGAACAAAAGAAAAUUUUCGGUCCACGGCGAGGGGGCUGAAGCAGAGGCGCAGCGGCUUUAGAAGAAGAUUCAGGAUAAAAUCCAGAAGUUGUUUUGAAACAUUAAAAAUAUUUAUAAAACAUGAUUAUACUAUACAUUAAUAGUUUUAAAUUUGGCUGGUCGGGACUCAGGAGAGCCAUCCUUGUGUUGAUAAAGUUGAAGGUGAAUUUUAGGGUGAUGCCAUGACUCAUAACAGAGCAAAAAUAACUAAAUGAGGGAAGAAAUAGAAGAACAACGGUGGCAAGGGAUGAGGGGUAGGUAGGAUCUGCGGGAGUCGGCCUGCGGAGAUGCGAAGAAGAUUAGGGAAGAGGUCAAGAGCAAUAUUAGGGUUGAAAUCGGAUACGGAUUGCAUACAAAUAUAUCUAUAUCUAUAUUUAUUUUAUUUGACGAAUACAGAGAUGAAUAUGAAUGUUAGUUAGAUGCAAAAAUUUACAUCUAUGUUUAUUUUAAAUAGAUAUGAAUAUAAAUCGGAUACCGAUAGUAUCUAUAUAUAUGAGUCGAAUAAUUUAGCUUUAUGGCUACAUAAUUAAAGAUAUAAAUGAAGUUAAUAGCAUGUUAAUGUGGUCAUGUAUUUUUUUU
rnacentral:lncRNA from 1 species